UCGGGGAUCAUCUAACGGUAGGAUGGCAGACUCUGACUCUGCUCGUCUAGGUUCGAAUCCUAGUCCCCGAACAA
rnacentral:tRNA from 7 species